rnacentral:rRNA from 1 species
AUACGGAGGAUGCGAGCGUUAUCCGGAUUUAUUGGGUUUAAAGGGAGCGUAGGUGGGAUAUUAAGUCAGCUGUGAAAGUUUGGGGCUCAACCUUAAAAUUGCAGUUGAUACUGGUUUCCUUGAGUACGGUACAGGUGGGCGGAAUUCGUGGUGUAGCGGUGAAAUGCUUAGAUAUCACGAAGAACUCCGAUCGCGAAGGCAGCACCGGGCCGGAACUGACACUGAUGCUCGAAAGUGCGGGUAUCAAACAGGAUUAGAUACCCUGGUAGUCCGCACAGUAAACGAUGAAUACUCGCUGUUUGCGAUACACGGUAAGCGGCCAAGCGAAAGCGUUAAGUAUUCCACCUGGGGAGUACGCCGGCAACGGUGAAACUCAAAUGAAUUGACGGGG